AAUUCGGAGGGAGCCCACGCCCCAGCCCCAAAAUUUAUUUUCCCCCAAAUAAUUUCGGUCUCUCUCCCUCUCUGCUUCCCUCCCUCCCUCUCUCUCACCAAAACCAUCGUCGCCCUCCUCUCGUUGUCGCCGGAGCUCCCUCGCCGCCUCCCUCCCUCUCUCGUCGUCUCCGGAGCCGGAGCUCUCUCGUCGCCAAAACCAGCGCCGCCCUCCUCCUCUCGUUGUCGUCGUCGGAGCUCUCUCGCCGCCUCCCUCCCUUUCUCGUCGCCAAAAAGCGCUGCCCUCCCUCCCUUCUCGUCUUGUUGUAUAGCUAAACCUCCUAAAGUUUUUAAUUCGUUUUUCUUAUUAAUUUUGAUUUAAUUCAACGAUCUAUUAAUCUUGAUUUUCGUCUUGUUAUUGAUUUAUUUGAAAUUACGGGAAGUGGGAGGUAGAUUUCGCCCUUUCUCGGAGAUCACCGGAGUCUGCACUCGCUACAAAGAUCAGAUUGACUGGAAGAGAAUACGGGAAAUACAAGCCUCUCGUGGAGCCGGCCAAAAGGUAGCACACAAGUGGUUCCCAGGAGUUCAUCCUCUUCGUUGCUCGCACCGUCGCCAAGCGAACGCUGCCUGGCCAGCGCCAAUCCGUUCAGCAUGAAGCACUUCUUCCGGUUACCAAGUCUGUCGAUGCUGCUGAAGAUUGUCUGUCUUCAUUGCAGGUGGGUUGGAGCCGUCAGCGAGUUUCUUUCUGUUUUACACUCUAGCCCAUACAUUCAUGGACAACAACAGAGAGUACUGGGGUUCAUUCUCCUCUUGAGUCUUCAAUCGAUAAGUCCCCCUACAUAAACAUCAUGGAAGAUGGACUGGUUACUGCAUUGAUUAAUGAUGAACCAAACAAUAACGAAGCAACAGCUUUACUCAAUGCUCGAACCAAACUCCAUUGUUGUUCCCCAUUGUCUCCAAAACUAGUCAUUGUUGUCAAUCAAAAAAAAAUGUCCUCCCUCAUUCCUUCAUUGAAGAAAGACGCCAUCAGGGAACAUCCAAGCAACCAAGAAGAGGAAUAAAGGCACGCCAUUCUUGUAAAGCUUUCGCUGAUUAUUUUCGAUUAAGUCAGUCGUGACUUGUAUUUUUAAUUAACAUAUUUAAGACAUUUGUAUAUUUGAGAUAUCCUCUUUACGUUUGGGACUUGAGUAAUUUAUAAGUUGUAUUCUGAUUCUAGUCAAUCUUUUGUUUU